UUUUUAAUAAAUUCUGAUGAUAUUUUAGAGUAGGAAUCUCAUUGAGCUUCAGUCAUUCGUUGCCAUGAAAUCAAACAUCUCUCACUGAACAAUGAACU
rnacentral:snoRNA from 13 species